UUCUCCUCCUCCAUCGACCUUCUCCAGAUUCUAAAAUUUUCCACAUCCUCCCGAGAGAUUAAGUGUUCACUAAGAUUACCCACACGCUCAAACUCAUAUUUUGAAGCACAUCGUCUCACUCCACAAAAAACAAAAAGGUAACUCAGUUGGACCCUCGAAUCUUAAUUUCUACUGUAAGUUACACUAUCAUUUGAGUUGCAUCAAUUGGUGCUCAAGUUCAAGAAGAUAGUAUCACUCUUUUUCAUUUGAUCAUUGAAACUGUUUCACAAAUCUCCCUCUUUCUGUCUGUGGUAUUUCUUCCACUAACAUUAUCACUCAGGUAUAUUCUUCCUAUCUCCUUAUCAUUAUAUUGUGUUACUGUGGAUUCGGGAAAAUGAAAGAAACAAAAUUGUUCUUGCAAGCAAAAUUUUGGUUGGUUUUACUAGGAUGUUCCAGAAUUGUAAGGUGUCUUUCAUACAAAAGGCCUGCUAAGUUGUUCACUGUAAAUUUGAAUGGUACAUCUUCUUAUUCCAUGGUAGUCACUCCGGUUUAAAUUUUGGUUUAAAUCAAUAGUAAUUUUUGCACAGAGGAAUCACUUAUUGAGGAGAAGUCGCUGGAGUUGGUGAGUCCUUCUUCCGGUUUUGUUUUUGUGAGUUUCACUCCUUAAUUAAUCUAAUUUUUGUAUGCGAAUGCUAUUUCAUUUUGAAUUUUGUAACAUGAAAUCGAGAAUGCUAUAUCAUUUUGCGUAAUUGAUGGGGUUUAGAAACAUUCCGCUAUUUUGAUUCGUUGUUGGAUGGGCAUGGGUUUUUACUGUUGUUACUAAUCCAAAGAAUAUUUUUCAUCUUCAUUUGCUUAUGUCUUCAGGUUGGUGUUGUAGCUAACAGUACGUUUUGUAAGAUGCAUAGAUAAUGGUGAAUGUAACUAUGUAAGUGGGGGAGGUGACUUAAAUUUCCUGCUUACAUAUGGAAGUCUUUUACUGUAUAUAUUUUGGAAGUUUGUGAAAAUUGCAGAAAAUUGAUCUGCACUAUUUCAUUGAUCAAGUAUAAGUUUUUUCUACUGAUUGGGUCGUUCGUUUUCCAUUUUUCGAAUCAUUGGAUGUUUCUCCAGUACCAGGGACAAGUUAGGUACUUGCUUCACAGGCUGGGGAGUCCCGAAGGCAGUUGCUUAACAUCGACAUCUUGUCCCUAAUAGAGGUAAAAUAUCGUGUUCGCUCUUACUUAUUUUUCGCUUCACAAAAUCUUGACUCUAGUAUGAAUCUGUGGCGCAAUGGUAGUACAUCUGACUCUGUCAGAAGGUUGCGUGUUCGAUUUAUGUCUGAUUCUCUGAACGGUUCGAAAUAAGAUUACUGCACAUUUCAUUCUUUUUAUAUGCAAUUUGUUUAUCCAUCGCCUUCAUGCUAUGCUAUAGUUAUGCUUACGUCAAUAAAUUCCUUGUAGAUUCACAUUCAGAUUCUAGACUAACUCUCACUAGAACAAUAAUAAGAUUUUAAAUUUUUUUAAAUAACUGAAACAACAAUAAGUUUUAACAAUUCAAAACAUGAUGGUACCACAUUAUAAAUAUUUAAUGAAAAGUAAAAAGGUCUGUGAUUAAACCCAUUGUCAGACAACUAACUUUUAUUUUGAGUAAACCAGCCACUCAAAUUUGCUUGCAAAGAAAUGGUAGAAUCCUCAUUUGUAGGUGCGGCAUUGGCUAAAUGUGCGCUUCUCCGUGUCUGAGCUCCUCCAAAUGCAGUCGCAAUACCAUCAACAUGCCCAGAAAAUACUCCAUGUCCAAAAGCAGGCGCAACACUAUCGACAUUUCCAGAAAAUACUCCUUGUGUAUGUGCACCAUUCUCAGAAUGGAUAUAUGGUAUUCCGUAGGCAGUUGCAGCAUUGCCAACACUUCCGUAUAAAGAUCUUCGACUCUACUCUCUGAUCACCAUCAUCCAUGACAGCAUAUAUCUACAACAAACAGAUAGUAGUUAAGUUAGAAUCAAAAACUAAAGUUAUAUGCAUACUAAUAAGUUAUUGAUUGAGCAAGCUAUCAUACAACCUAUAUUCGUAAGCUAAAACGUUAACCCUGUCACAUUUAUUUUUUCUGAAUGAAACUUUUAUAUAAAAUUGAUUUAAGAUUAAUAAACCC